rnacentral:rRNA from 1 species
UAUGGAGGGGACUAGCGUUGUUCGGAAUUACUGGGCGUAAAGAGCUCGUAGGUGGUUUGUCGCGUUGUUCGUGAAAACUCACAGCUCAACUGUGGGCGUGCGGGCGAUACGGGCAGACUAGAGUACUGCAGGGGAGACUGGAAUUCCUGGUGUAGCGGUGGAAUGCGCAGAUAUCAGGAGGAACACCGGUGGCGAAGGCGGGUCUCUGGGCAGUAACUGACGCUGAGGAGCGAAAGCGUGGGGAGCGAACAGG